rnacentral:rRNA from 1 species
UACGAAGGGUGCAAGCGUUACUCGGAAUUACUGGGCGUAAAGGGUGCGUAGGUGGUUUGUUAAGUCUGCUGUGAAAUCCCCGGGCUCAACCUGGGAAUGGCAGUGGAUACUGGCAAGCUAGAGUGCGGUAGAGGGUAGUGGAAUUCCUGGUGUAGCGGUGAAAUGCGCAGAUAUCAGGAGGAACACCAAUGGCGAAGGCAGCUCGCUGGGACGGUACUGACGCUGAGACGCGAAAGCGUGGGGAGCAAACAGG